rnacentral:rRNA from 1 species
GACGAACGCUGGCGGCGUGCCUAAUACAUGCAAGUCGAACGAGAGCGACCGGUGCUUGCACUGGUCAAUCUAGUGGCGAACGGGUGAGUAACACGUGGGUAACCUGCCCAUCAGAGGGGGAUAACAUCCGGAAACGGAUGCUAAGACCGCAUAGGUCUUCGAACCGCAUGGUUUGAAGAGGAAAAGAGGCGCAAGCUUCUGCUGAUGGAUGGACCCGCGGUGCAUUAGCUAGUUGGUGAGGUAACGGCUCACCAAGGCCGUGAUGCAUAGCCGACCUGAGAGGGUGAUCGGCCACAUUGGGACUGAGACACGGCCCAAACUCCUACGGGAGGCAGCAGUAGGGAAUCUUCCGCAAUGGACGCAAGUCUGACGGAGCAACGCCGCGUGAGUGAAGAAGGUUUUCGGAUCGUAAAACUCUGUUGUUAGAGAAGAACAAGUGCUAGAGUAACUGUUAGCGCCUUGACGGUAUCUAACCAGAAAGCCACGGCUAACUACGUG